UACAGAGGGUGCGAGCGUUGUUCGGAAUUAUUGGGCGUAAAGGGCGCGUAGGCGGUGCGGUAAGUCAUCUGUGAAAUCUCCUGGCUCAACUGGGAGCUUGCAGGCGAAACUGCCGUGCUGGAGUGUGGGAGAGGUGCGUGGAAUUCCUGGUGUAGCGGUGAAAUGCGUAGAUAUCAGGAGGAACACCUGUGGCGAAAGCGGCGCACUGGACCACAACUGACGCUGAGGCACGAAAGCUGGGGGAGCGAACAGG
rnacentral:rRNA from 1 species